GGCAAGGGUUCAGCAUAUGUCUCCAGGAUCAUCAACAGGGGUGCCAGGGCUGACCCCAAACUACCACAAACUCCAAUGAUUCCUAAAGCUGUUGCCCUUGGAGCACAAACAACAAUAAAAAAUUAACCUGAGCUGAGAAAGAACUGUUUUAACCUUCACGAAGAACCUAUGAAAUUUUGUACCUGAUGACGGUGGGGAGCAGUUCAUUUGUAUGGGUAAGAGAACAGGUAACAGAGGCAAAAGAAAUUCCUCCUCCCAAAGUUGUCAGAAUCAUAUGCACGGUCUGCAUUUCUGGAAAGAGGAAGAGCCAGGAAAGUUAGGAAAUCUGAGAUGAAGGAAUCUUCAUUCUCCAAUUUACAAACAAAAAAUGCUUCUGUUGGAGACGUUCACAGUGUAAAAUAUACUGUGGAAAAACUGCACCGAGGAAGUUUGUGAGGACGAGAUGUGACUUAUAUGCAAAGUUCAAUUUAUGAUGAAUAAAAGUUCUGAAUAAUUGUAUUCAUUCUCUUUGCCUCUCCAGAUUUGUCAAAGGAGAAGAGAGGAUGCUGAAUUUAGGAGGAAAUCACUUUCUUUUUCUGUACAAUGUCUCUAUCCUUUGAAUGGAAGAAUCUCAUGAGAGCUUUAAACCUUGGAGGAGGCUUUGUGACAGCCAGGAAAAUGACAUCAUUGUUCAAACUCAAGAAGAGUGAAGCCUGUAGCCUGGUGUGAUGGUGCACUCCUGUAACCACAGCAUUGUAGGAGGCUAAGGAAGGAGGAUCAAAAGUUCAAAGCCAGCUUCAGCAACUUAUCAGGGGCCUAAGCAAUUUAUCAAGACCGUGGCUAAAAAUAAAACGGGCUGGGGAUGUGGCUCAAUUGUUCAAUGCCACUGGGUUCAAUCCCUGAUACCAAAGAGAGAGACUGAGGAGUGGAACCCACCAAUGUGGGAUUUUGUAAAAUAAGUUACAACACAGGAGUUCAGCAAAGCACAGUGAUGGAUAUGCUGUCACUGCUGUCACAUAUUCUCUACUGGAACCCAAAGGUUUAUUUUCUUAAGUCAAAAUAACUCCCGAAAACCAGAAUGGCAUUUGUGGUGACCUGAGAUGAGGCACAUGUGUAGACACAUAGAGUUCAAGUAUAGAUUGUCACUGAAGGUGAAGUAAUAAGACAGAGCCAUCGAGAAAAAGUAACAAUACAGUGUGGUCACAUUAGCUUAUAAUGAUAAGUCUAAACCCUACAUGUUUGCAAGGAAGUGUGAUUGGCCAAGAGAAGAAGCUCAGAGAAACUUAGAGAAGCUCAGAACACGGUGGCACCAUUUUACAGGUACUUCUUGACCAUAAUGAAGAUAAUCAUGCAUUUGAAACAAACUUUACUGACCUUUAGGUGUUUUCCAAGUACUGGAUGGCAGAAUCUGUUCUAAAUGCCCAACUUGUGUCAGUGAACACUUAGAACCCAAUUCUUCUGAUUCCUGUAGGUGCAAGCUGAAAAAUCCUCAGGAAAGUGGGAAAGAUCUUUCCUUUUUUACCCUGUCUCUCUCCUUACCUUCAGG